UUAAAUGUCCCUAAAUUAAAAAUCCGAGACCCCUUCCCGCGCGCGCUCAAAUCUCAAACAAUUUGAUGAGUUUUGAGAAAUCGUUCCCGAUCAAAACGAUAGAGUACUUCUUCACCCUUCUCUUUGUGCAGAGAGAGAGGAAAAGCGUUUCCGCCCUGGCUCUGGACACAGCAGAAAACCCUGCUCUUCGCGCAUAGAGAGAAGAGACCAGAUCCGCCUCCGCCCUUGGUUCUGAACACAGAAAACCCUGCUCUUCGCGCAUAGAUAGAAGAGACCAGAUCCACCUCCGCCCUGGUUCUGAACACAGAAAACCAUGCUAUUUGCCACAGGGAGGAGCUACUCCUCCGCUCAAAUCGUUACUUUGUGGGCUUUCUUCACCAAAAUUUCUGUUACUGAGAAUGGAGAGAAUGGGAGCAUGGGUCAAAAGCAACUAGUUUGUUUAGGGCGGAGUCUACUGUCAUCACAAUCACACAUAGGAUAACAUCAAUUCUUGAUGUCAAUAUGGUCAUGCUUCUUGAUAAUGGCCUUGUAGUUGAAUAUGAUUCCCCAUCCAAUUUGCUAGAGAACAAGUCAUCAUCUUCUGCAAAGCUUGUUAAGGAGUAUACUCAAAGAAGUGGUUGCUAGUAUUUAAAAAGUCUAAUAACUGAAUUUAAAUUUUUAAAGUAAGUCGGCUGCAUUAAACUAAGGUUCAUUGCUAUUUUUUAGUAUGACAACACACUGUUGGGACGUUGAAGCUGCUUGUGAUCAUCUGAGUUGGCAUUGGUAUUUAGUUAAAGUAUUGGAGUAAGAAAAGAAGAUAAGAGGGGGAGAAGUAAUCUUUUUCUUCAUGAAUGUUUAUAAACUUUGGGAGAAGUUUUAUUAGUCCAUCAGUAUUUUUAUAU